rnacentral:rRNA from 1 species
UAGGGAAUUUUCGUCAAUGGGCGCAAGCCUGAACGAGCGAUGCCGCGUGAGUGAAGAAGGCCUUCGGUCGUAAAGCUCUGUUGCGGGGGAAAAAAGGGACAUCUGCAGGAAAUGGUAGAUGACAGAUGGUGCCCCGCCAGAAAGUCACGGCUAACUACGUGCC